rnacentral:rRNA from 1 species
GCAUACGGCUCAGUAACGCGUAGUCCACCUAACCUAUGGACGGGAAUAACCUCGGGAAACUGAGAAUAAUGCCCGAUAGAACAUUAUGCCUGGAAUGGUUUAUGUUCCAAAUGAUUUAUCGCCGUAGGAUGGGACUGCGGCCUAUCAGUUUGUUGGUGAGGUAAUGGCCCACCAAGACUAUUACAGGUACGGGCUCUGAGAGGAGUAGCCCGGAGAUGGGUACUGAGACACGGACCCAGGCCCUAUGGGGCGCAGCAGGCGAGAAAACUUUGCAAUGUGCGAAAGCACGACAAGGUUAAUCCGAGUGGUUUCUGCUAAAGAAACCUUUUGUCAGUCCUAGAAACACUGAUGAAUAAGGGGUGGGCAAGUUCUGGUGUCAGCCGCCGCGGUAAAACCAGCACCUCAAGUGGUCAGGAUGAUUAUUGGGCCUAAAGCAUCCGUAGCCGGCUCUGUAAGUUUUCGGUUAAAUCUGUACGCUCAACGUACAGGCUGCCGGGAAUACUGCAAAGCUAGGGAGUGGGAGAGGUAGACGGUACUCGGUAGGAAGGGGUAAAAUCCUUUGAUCUAUUGAUGACCACCUGUGGCGAAGGCGGUCUACCAAAACACGUCCGACGGUGAGGGAUGAAAAGCUGGGGGAGCAAACCGGAUUAAAUACCCGGGUAAUCCCAGCU